UCCGUGGUAGUCCAAGUGGUUAGGACUUGGCACUUUCACUGCCGUGGCCAUGGGUUCAAUCCCUGGUCAAGGAA
rnacentral:tRNA from 1 species